GAACCGCAUGGUUCAAAAGUGAAAGACGGUCUUGCUGUCACUUAUAGAUGGAUCCGCGCUGCAUUAGCUAGUUGGUAAGGUAACGGCUUACCAAGGCAACGAUGCAUAGCCGACCUGAGAGGGUGAUCGGCCACACUGGAACUGAGACACGGUCCAGACUCCUACGGGAGGCAGCAGUAGGGAAUCUUCCGCAAUGGGCGAAAGCCUGACGGAGCAACGCCGCGUGAGUGAUGAAGGUCUUCGGAUCGUAAAACUCUGUUAUUAGGGAAGAACAUAUGUGUAAGUAACUGUGCACAUCUUGACGGUACCUAAUCAGAAAGCCACGGCUAACUACGUGCCAGCAGCCGCGGUAAUACGUAGGUGGCAAGCGUUAUCCGGAAUUAUUGGGCGUAAAGCGCGCGUAGGCGGUUUUUUAAGUCUGAUGUGAAAGCCCACGGCUCAACCGUGGAGGGUCAUUGGAAACUGGAAAACUUGAGUGCAGAAGAGGAAAGUGGAAUUCCAUGUGUAGCGGUGAAAUGCGCAGAGAUAUGGAGGAACACCAGUGGCGAAGGCGACUUUCUGGUCUGUAACUGACGCUGAUGUGCGAAAGCGUGGGGAUCAAACAGGAUUAGAUACCCUGGUAGUCCACGCCGUAAACGAUGAGUGCUAAGUGUUAGGGGGUUUCCGCCCCUUAGUGCUGCAGCUAACGCAUUAAGCACUCCGCCUGGGGAGUACGACCGCAAGGUUGAAACUCAAAGGAAUUGACGGGGACCCGCACAAGCGGUGGAGCAUGUGGUUUAAUUCGAAGCAACGCGAAGAACCUUACCAAAUCUUGACAUCCUUUGACAACUCUAGAGAUAGAGCCUUCCCCUUCGGGGGACAAAGUGACAGGUGGUGCAUGGUUGUCGUCAGCUCGUGUCGUGAGAUGUUGGGUUAAGUCCCGCAACGAGCGCAACCCUUAAGCUUAGUUGCCAUCAUUAAGUUGGGCACUCUAAGUUGACUGCCGGUGACAAACCGGAGGAAGGUGGGGAUGACGUCAAAUCAUCAUGCCCCUUAUGAUUUGGGCUACACACGUGCUACAAUGGACAAUACAAAGGGCAGCGAAACCGCGAGGUCAAGCAAAUCCCAUAAAGUUGUUCUCAGUUCGGAUUGUAGUCUGCAACUCGACUACAUGAAGCUGGAAUCGCUAGUAAUCGUAGAUCAGCAUGCUACGGUGAAUACGUUCCCGGGUCUUGUACACACCGCCCGUCACACCACGAGAGUUUGUAACACCCGAAGCCGGUGGAGUAACCUUUUAGGAGCUAGCCGUCGAAGGUGGGACAAAUGAUUGGGGUGAAGUCGUAACAAGGUAGCCGUAUCGGAAGGUGCGGCUGGAUCACCUCCUUU
rnacentral:rRNA from 1 species